GGGUGACUAGUGGCAGAGUGAGGGAGGGAAGAGGUGACUAGUGACAGAGUGAGGGGAUGACUGGUGACAGAGAUAGGUAGUGACUAGUGACAGAGUGAGGGAGGGGGUGACUGUCACUAGUCACCCCAUCCCUCUCUCUGUCACUAGUCACCCCAUCCCUCUCUGUCACUAGUCACUCCCUCCCUAACUCUGUCACUGUGUCACCCCUCCCUAACUCUGUCACCGUGUCACCCGCUCCCUCACUCUGUCACUGUGUCACCCC